rnacentral:rRNA from 1 species
UGGUGGAGCGAUUUGUCUAGUUAAUUCCGAUAGCGAACGAGACUCUGGCCUAUUAAAUAGUUCGCCGAUUCCGAUCUGUCGGCGUUAACUUCUUAGAGGGACAAGUGGCUUUUAGCCACGCGAGAUUGAGCAAUAACA